rnacentral:rRNA from 1 species
UACGAAGGGUGCAAGCGUUGCUCGGAAUCACUGGGCGUAAAGGGUGCGUAGGCGGGUCUUUUAAGUCAGGGGUGAAAUCCUGGAGCUCAACUCCAGAACUGCCUUUGAUACUGAGGAUCUUGAGUUCGGGAGAGGUGAGUGGAACUGCGAGUGUAGAGGUGAAAUUCGUAGAUAUUCGCAAGAACACCAGUGGCGAAGGCGGCUCACUGGCCCGAUACUGACGCUGAGGCACGAAAGCGUGGGGGAGCAAACAGG